CCUACGGGAGACAGCAGUGGGGAAUAUUGCACAAUGGGGGAAACCCUGAUGCAGCAACGCCGCGUGAAGGAAGACGGCCUUCGGAUUGUAAACCUCUGUUAUUAGUGAAGAAUAAUGACAGUAGCUAAAGAGCAAGCCACGGCUAACUACGUGCCAGCAGCCGCGGUAAUACGGGGGGGGCAAGCGUUGUCCGGAAUUACUGGGUGUAAAGGGAGCGCAGGCGGGAUGCGAAGUCAGCUGUGAAAACUACGGGCUUAACCUGUGGACUGCAUUUGAAACUGGUUGGCUAGAGUCAAGUAGAGGUUGGUGGAAUUCCGGGUGUAGCGGUGAAAUGCGUAGAUAUUCGGAGGAAUACCGGUGGCGAAGGCGGCCCCCUGG
rnacentral:rRNA from 1 species